UUACGACCUUUAAAUUCAAAGAAUUUGGCGGUAAUUAAGUCUUUUUAGAGGAACCUGUUGCGUAAUCGAUGAUCCACGAUUGAUUAUACUUUUAUUAUACUUGUAUAUCUCUGUCAUUGAAUGUAUUAUUAGGUUAAUUAUUUUCUUUUAUCUUUUGUGUAGGAAAAAUGUCAGGUCAAGGUGCAGUUUAUAUAUAAGUGACUAAUGGGUUACAUUAUUAUUGUUUUGAAUAUUAAUUUGUAAUUAAUUAAUUGAAAUAGGAUUUAAUAGUAAUUUUAAAUAGAAAAUUUAUUUUGAUUUUUGGCUCUUAAUUAU
rnacentral:rRNA from 1 species